GAUGAACGCUGGCGGCGUGCCUAAUACAUGCAAGUCGAGCGAACAGAUAAGGAGCUUGCUCCUUUGACGUUAGCGGCGGACGGGUGAGUAACACGUGGGUAACCUACCUAUAAGACUGGAAUAACUCCGGGAAACCGGGGCUAAUGCAGGAUAACAUGUUGAACCGCAUGGUUCUACAGUGAAAGGCGGCUUUGCUGUCACUUAUAGAUGGACCCGCGCCGUAUUAGCUAGUUGGUGGGGUAACGGCUCACCAAGGCAACGAUGCGUAGCCGACCAGGGAGGGUGAUCGGCCAACACGGAACUGGAGCACGGUUCAGACUCCUAAGGGAGGCAGCAGUAGGGAAUCUUCCGCAAUUGGGGAAAGCCUUGCGGCAGAACGGCGCGGGAGGGAUAGAGGUCCUCGGAUCUGAAAACUCUGUUAUGAGGGAAGAACAAAUGCGUAAGUAACUGUGCGCUGCUUGAAGGUUACUAAUCAGAAAGGCACGGCUAAAUACGUU
rnacentral:rRNA from 1 species